rnacentral:rRNA from 1 species
UAGGGAAUCUUCCGCAAUGGGCGAAAGCCUGACGAAGCAACGCCGCGUGAGUGAUGAAGGUCUUCGGAUCGUAAAACUCUGUUAUUAGGGAAGAACAAAUGUGUAAGUAACUAUGCACGUCUUGACGGUACCUAAUCAGAAAGCCACGGCUAACUACGUGCCAGCAGCCGCGGUAAUACGUAGGUGGCAAGCGUUAUCCGGAAUUAUUGGGCGUAAAGCGCGCGUAGGCGGUUUUUUAAGUCUGAUGUGAAAGCCCACGGCUCAACCGUGGAGGGUCAUUGGAAACUGGAAAACUUGAGAGCAGAAGAGGAAAGUGGAAUUCCAUGUGUAGCGGUGAAAUGCGCAGAGAUAUGGAGGAACACCAGUGGCGAAGGCGACUUUCUGGUCUGUAACUGACGCUGAUGUGCGAAAGCGUGGGGAUCAAACAGG